CAACCUUACAAAUUACACCAUACACCUUAUUCUCUUCUGAUAUUCAAAACAUCAAUCACAAACAACAAAACAAAGACGUAAGAGAGAGAGAAAGAACACUUACGCCGAAAACUGAUGACCACAUACCAGAAAAAGAUGCUGUGAGAAAGUAGCGUCCACGAAUAUCCGCACAAAUCUAUAGUCCUCAACAGAAUAGAAUACAGAGAUAAAGGCCUUCCAUGGAUAUUCGCCUCCCAAAGAGAGAGAUGAAUGCUUACAGGAGAGAGGAAAAGUAACUAUCAAGAGCGAGAGAUGAAUGCUUAAAGAAGAGAGAGAAAGUAACCAUCAAAGCGCGAGAGGGACAAAUGCUUUGAAGAAGAGAGAGAAAAUAACUGCCAAGAGAGUAACGAUCGUUGGGAGUGAGAGAUGAACGCUGAAAGCGGAGAGAGAGUAAUGAAUGCAGAGAGAGAGAUGAACGCUUAAAGCAGAGAGAAAGUAACUAUCAGAGAGAGAGAGAGCGAUUCAGUCAUUGAGCUCCCACAAUAAUAUUACUCGACUCGAUUAUGUUAAUCAAAGAUCAGAGAGAGAAAGAGAGAGAGACCGGAAGAAUGUUACUGGCUUUGAUUAUGGCUGGGGAGCUGAUCUUUCACAGAACUCAAGUACUCAACUCCUCCCUCUCUUUCCCUCUCUACUGUUGCUGCUGAAGGUCCACCAUCUGCAAGCCACCAUUCACCGGCAGCGGCCAAACAACUGAUUGUGCGCCCGAUUUCACACAACAAUGGUACCAUGCCAUGGAGCCAAAAGCGAUCAACACAAACAUCCCCAAGAGGCCGAGCCCGACCCACAUCGGGAUAUUUGGGAUAAACAUCAACACUGCAAUGACUAUCAUUGUCGCCACAAACAAAACACCCGCCCAAAUCUGUAUACAGUCCGCUCUCCUCACUCGUGUAGCCUGCAUCUUCAAUCUGUAUUCUUAAGAGAGGGAGAGUCUCCUAAUCUUAGGUAUGAAAGAUAUUGUAGAGAGAGAGACAGAGAGAGAGUAGGCGUUCUUGAUUUUCUUGGCGGAAGAAGAAGACGGAGGAGGAGAAGAAGAGUAGGAAGAUACUGCAAGAGAAAGAGAGGGAGGGGUGUUUGUUGAUCGGAGGAAGGACAACAAGUAUUUAGAGAGAG
rnacentral:lncRNA from 1 species